ensembl:lncRNA
UGUACAGAAUAAUACAAGUUAAUUUAAAGUAUAUUAUUGUUUAUUUUAUUUGAAUUAUUAUUAUUAUUUAUUUAUUCUUUUUGCCAACCCCCAUAAUCCCAUGCCCAAACAUAAUGCAACGCGUGACAUCGCGCUAUUGCGCCAUUUUUGCGAUUACUUGGCGGUCUUUUUUUGAAUCGGCAUCAAUUUAUCAGGCGGCCUGCAGUGCACUUACAGCUCGAACUGUGAAGCCAUAUUAUUGUAAGGUUGAUGACAAAUGAGGUCAUGGCCUGUUUCAGUAUGAAGUGGGGGAAGGGGAAGCUUGCCUUCACCAAGAUCAAUCUGUACACUGUUGUCACAGAGAGUGUCCAGAAAACAUCAAAAGAGACGGGGCAAAUAUUGCAGCGGCCACCGCCUUUUGUUUAAAAUAUGCCCCAGCAGAGCCGUCGCAAGGAGGGUGAGAGGCCCUGUGCAAAGUUGACAUGCGAGGCCCUCUACAAUUUUGCGUGUGUGUGUGUGUGUGUGUGUGUGUGGUGGGGGAGGUUGCUGUAGUAAGGCAAGGCAAGUUUAUUUAUAUAGCAGAUUUCGUACACAAUGGUAAUUCAAAGUGCUUUACAUAAAAAAAAAGUAAAAUAAUCAUGAAGAACAAAACUAAAACAAGCAAUUUUAAAACUUUGGAAAUGAUUUAAAAAUUGACUUGAAUUUAAAACAGUUAGAAAUAGAAAAUGAUUUUUACAUAAAAAUACAGUGAAUACGUAAAAUACAGUGCAAUCAGGUCGGACAUCGCACAGUGCUCAUUAAAUAAAUGCACAGCUAAACAGAUGAGUUUUUGAGUCUAGAUUUAAAUGUGACUAGUGUUUUAGCACAUCUGAUCUCUUCUGGAAGCUGAUUCUGGAAGCAAUGUAUUUUGGUCCUAGGUCACUGAGUGACUUCUAGACGAGUAAAAGUACUUUAAAAUCAAUCCUAAAUGUAACUGGAAGCCAGUGUAAGGACCUGAGGACUGAUGUGAUGUGCUCAGAUGUUCUGGUUCUAGUCAGAAUCCUGGCAGCAGCGUUCUGGAUGAGCUGCAUCAUUUUUGAAAAAAGAUGUGGGAAGUGUGUCAAGAUAGCAAGUUGACGAUUUUAGUUGCUGCACUAUGUCUUCCAAAAUGUUGCUAUCAAUUGCUUCAGAAUAGACAGUAUCUUUUUGAUAUUGCAGCCGAAUCUGUCUGACCUCUGCAUUGCUUGAGGAUGUGCUAAUCGCCUUCCUGAUAUUGAUGAUCUUCUCAGAAAAGAAGGAAGCAAACUCAUUGCAUUUGCAGUCUGACAGCAUUUCACUGGGAAUCUGACUCUGGGAAACUGAUUUCUGUCUGUUUGUUUUUCUUACUGACUAUUAUUGGAGCAAUAUCAUUAAUACCAUUCUUAACUUUUGAGUUAAAGGAAUCAAGGAGAAUAUCAACAGAGUCCGCAAAAAUACUUAGUGUUAAAGAUAUAGCCUCCAUAAAUAGUACACUAGUGUUCUCGUUAGGUCUGCACUAUUAAUCGCAUGCAAUUGUCAUGCGCGUCUCGUCAGUAAAGCUGGUUCUGUGAUUAGCGCUUAAUGUCCAGAGCCGUAGUUCGCUGGACGCAAUAUCACGUUCAUAACCGCAUGCGAUUCAUCUGCGAUUAUGAACGCGAUAUUGCGCCGCUUGUCAGCAAACUACGGCUCGGUCUAUUAAGUGCAGCUACAUUUGAAAGCAUCUCCUUCUGACAGAGACAGAUCUAGAUUCAGUGGUAGCAGAGAUCAAUAUAUCAAAGAAAAUACAGAAGUGAUCAGAUAGUGCUACGUCCUUAAUAACAAUGGGUGAGAUGUUUAGAGCCCUACUGAUGAUUAAAUCUAGAGUGUGUCCACCCUUGUGUGUGGGUCCAUGCACAUGCUGAAUCAGGUCAAAAGUGUUUAGAACCGUUAUCAUUUCUUUUUGUAGUUUUUGUUUUCUGCAUUAUCUAUGUGAAUAUUAAAAUCCCCUGCAAUAGCAAAACAGUCAAACUCUGAGGAAAUCAUUGAUAACAUUUCUGUGACCUCUUCAACAAAGGCUGGAGAGUAUUUUGGAGGCCUGUAAAUAAUGAUAAACAGAAUGCAUGGAGCACCUUUCAGCACAAUUCCUAGAUAUUCAAAAGACAAGUACUGACCAAAUGACACUUGCUUGCAUUGAUAGACAUCUUUAAAUAGAGCAGCUACACCUCCACCUCUCCUAACAGUCCUGCACACACUCAUGAAAGUAAAGUUAGGAGGGGUGCUUCAUUGAGGACUGUUGUACUGCAGCUGUCUUCUAGCCAUGUUUCAUUUAGAAACAUAAAAUCCAGAUUGUUUGUGGUUAUAAAGUCAUUGAUUAGAAAAUGAUUAAUUUUUUAGUGAGCGAAUGUUUAAAGAUGCUAACUUGAUGGCAGUGAUUUAUGUCAUUACAUCAAUUUUUAGUUUGAUGCAUAAUAGGCUGCAGAUUAGAUGAGUUUGCCCUUCGGCUUGAGAUGGACUUAAACUUUCUGUCACAUGAUAAAACUGAAAUAGAGAAAGCUACAGGCACACUGGGUUCCCGCUUGUUCUGUAAACAUUUGUGAAUGUUGCUGCUAUUAUAGCGGGGACCCGACACAUAUCACUGAGAGCUGCUAUCAGCUGUUUUUGGCUCACCUACAGCAGAUGGAGGGUUGGGGCCCUGGCAUUGUGGCAGCGGUCGGAGAGCUCUCACAGGAGCAGGGCCCACAGGCUUUGGUGUUUGGGGGCCUGCUGUUUUCUUGUUGAUAUCUGCGGGCUUGCAACGAAUGAGUGUGAGAGUUUAGUCCCAGCAUACACCAAUUCUACCAUUUUUCUGUGAAAAGCACAGAAGUGGAGAUGCUGGAGAGAGGGAUAAUGUGUCUGGUGAGCGGGGCUGUGUCUCUGGUGUUUCCGGUGACUGUGAUAUGUUGUCUUGGCUUCCCGGCUGUCUUCCAGAAAGUCAUCCUUGAGUGCUGAGUCUUGUAGCUGUUUUGAUACAUCACAGUCUGUCUGUGAGGAGCUCUGAGGGCAGGGCUCGGCCGGGAUGGUGUCCAUCAGCAGUGCUUAUUGUGGCUGCAUGGUGUUAUCAGUUGGGAGUGGUCCACUGAUGAACUUUGAGUCUUCAAAGUGUUUGAAAAAGGUUCACUAAAGUCCUUCUUAAGGGGUUCUGACUGCUCUUUC